rnacentral:misc_RNA from 1 species
GAUGAAGAACGUAGCGAAAUGCGAUAAGUAAUGUGAAUUGCAGAAUUCAGUGAAUCAUCGAAUCUUUGAACGCAUCUUGCACUCCUUGGUAUUCCGAGGAGCAUGCCUGUUCGAGCGUCAUUACAACCCUCAAGCUCUGCUUGGUAUUGGGCCCCGCCAGUUCUGGCGGGCCCUAAAGUCAGUGGCGGUGCCUUCCGGCUCCGAGCGUAGUAAUUCUUCUCGCUCUGGAGACCCGGUUGUGUGCUUGCCAACAACCCCCAAUUUUUUAAGGUUGACCUCGGAUCAGGUAGGGAUACCCGCUGAACUUAAGCAUAUCAAUAAGCGGAGGA